AUGUAGGACAGUCUGUCUAUAAUUAGAGUUAAAUUACUAUGAAGAAAAUAAAUCCUGAAUAGUUUUCCUCUGCCGUCCCUUUUUUGU
rnacentral:pre_miRNA from 1 species